AUGGUGCUGCGGCCGUACAGCCUCCAGAUGUCCGUUUUCUGUGCAAUGCGGAUAUCGAUAAGUUCCGACAAGCUGUGUUUCCAGUGCAGGAGGUCAGAAUCCUUUAGGGCAUCCAUCAGUCUGUUGGCCGUUUUCCCAGAAAAACCUCCGUGUUCAAAACGUUUCAGUUCAACGCACAGCCUCCUGCAUUAUUUUGACCACCUGAUUCUCACUGGAGCAGAGGGCAAAAGUAAUGGGGAAGAAGGUUAUGGCGGGAGCCUGAGAUAUGCUGCUGUCAACCUGGCUGCCCUGCACUGCCUCUUCUGUCACUAUCAACAGGCAGAGCUCGCCCUGCAGGAGGCAAUUAGGAUUGCCCAGGAGUCCAAGGAUCACCUGUGUCUGCAGCACUGUUUGAGCUGGCUUUAUGUGCUGGGGCAGAAGAGAGCCCAUAGCUAUGUUCUGUUGGAGCACUCUGUGAAGAAUGCAGUACAUUUUGGGUUAUUUAUUGCUUUUAUUAUGUUUAGGGAUGUAUCUUGUAUCCUUCUAUUCUGGAGGACUUUUAACAAGAAGUUGUGUAGGGUUUUUCAGCAUCCAAAAGAUGAUAAUUUUUUUACUUAUUUUUAUUUUAUUUAUUUUUCUAUUUUGGCGGAUUGA
rnacentral:lncRNA from 1 species